rnacentral:lncRNA from 1 species
CUCAGCUUCCUCAGGGCUUGGGGACUAAAACCCAAGACCUAAAACUGAAGCUUGGGGGCCUGGCAGAUGGCGCAAGGCUCGAGGGCCGAUAGUUGCUCAUUGGCAAACUCCUAAUUUAUCCCUACGCUUUUGUGAUUCCUCCUCUGGGAAAUGGAAGAAGGACUGGAUGGACCAGAUGGCUUCUGAGGGCCUUGAAGUUCUACCUCCUUGCUCCUCUGAUCUUUCCUCUACACUGCUUCCUGAAACCACUCUAGGAUGAGUGUUUGCAGCUUUACCCACUGUCUUGAAGUCUGUGCCAGAGAACUGGCAUCACCCAUUGCCUUGGACUUAGAUGAGGAGGGAUUUCUUUCAUCAAAGGACCGGAGGUGGAUCUCCAAGAGUCUACCAUCUGUGGGGCAGCCAGGGGAUUUUUGCACACAAAUAACUAAAAAAAAAAAAAACCAUCCAGCCACCCAGCUAUAAAACUUUCAUCUUAACAUGGGCCUAGACCUCUGAGGCUGAAGGGAUUUUUUUUUUUUUUAGUGACUCAAUUAGAAGCGAUUUAAUAUCAUUGGUUUAUAUUUUUCCACCGGAAGAAAGAGCAAGCCAGGAGGGUCCUUGUGAGGGCAGGAUCCCACAAAAACACAAGAGGUGCUCUGGUUUAGUGGAUAGAAUCCCAGAUGUGGAGUCGGGAAGUCCACGUUCAUAAUCUACUUUUUUUCUCUGACCGGCUUUGAAAAAAACUUCUCAAAGGCUCCCCCAAAUCUUCAGGUUCAGCAGAGGUUGACAGAGCUCCCCCAACAAUGAUAUCACAGGCCUUUGACUGGUUACCAUAGAAAAGGAGAACUGACCUUUAAGGAUAAAAGUUGGAGGCAUGAUGGGAUGGUGCCUUUGCCCUCAGCACCCAAUGUGAGUUAAAUUGAAUUGGCUUCAGCAAGAUACAAUGGAAAGAAUACAAUAUAUGAAAUCAGAGGAACCCAAGUUCAAGUCCUUUCUAUACUAUUUAAUACCUCAGUGAUCUUGGAUAAUUCACCUAAUUGUAUUUCCCUAUUUGUUAUAUGAAAGGGUUGGAAUAGAUCAGUGGUCUCUAAAGUAGAAGGUUGGGCAGUUGACCAGUGAGUCAGCUUGAGCUGUCAAUCAAUUCCUUGGAUGAAACCCCAAUAAGCAUUGCCCAUAUCACAACUCCCUCAUUUUACAACCUGAGAAAGCAUAGGUCUACAAGGGAUGAGAUAAGGAAACUGAGGGCCACCAACUAGAAGUCUCCAAAGUAGAAGGCUGGUUAGCUGUCCAGUGGUCUCUAAAGUAGAAGGCUGGGCAGUUGGCCAGUGGUCCCUAAAGUAGAAGGCUGGGCAGUUGACCAGUAGUUUUUAAAGUAGAAGGUUGGCAUCUGACCAGUGGUCCCUAAAGUAGAAGUCUGGGCAGUUGACCGGUGGUCUUUAAAGUAGAAGCCUGAGCAUCUGACCAGUGGUCUCUAAAGUAGAAG